AAUACGGGGGGGGUAAGCGUUGUUCGGAAUUACUGGGCGUAAAGGGCUCGUAGGCGGCCAACUAAGUCAUACGUGAAAUCCCUCAGCUUAACUGGGGAACUGCGUGUGAUACUGGAUGGCUUGGAUUUGGGAGAGGGAUGCGGAAUUCCAGGUGUAGCGGUGAAAUGCGUAGAUAUCUGGAGGAACACCGGUGGCGAAGGCGGCAUCCUGGACCAAUAUUGACGCUGAGGAGCGAAAGCCAGGGGAGCAAACGGGA
rnacentral:rRNA from 1 species